GCUGAUGCUGCUGCAAUCGGCGGAUCGACAAGACAGCCAGCCGAGUACAAUCGAUCGGACGGUUCAAAUUGAUUCAGAAUUGCACUCGACAAGCGCAACAUCAGCAGCAGCAACAACAAAGCAAGUCAAAAACUUACGAGAAUACCAACAAACAAUAGAUAGUUGGCAGACCACCAUACAUAUUACAUACAUAUGUAUGUGGGGAAAACGGCUGAAGAAGCUGGAGCUGCUGCUGACCAGCGGCGAUCUGUCGUUAUACUCGUAUAUUUCGGCUUGUAUGUGGAGAACAGUAGUAACUCGGUGCGGUGCGAUAACACCGAACACAGCAACGCUUCCAAUACUUUGACAAGCACGAUCAACAGCGAUCAACAUCGCCAGCAACAGCAUCAGCAUCAGCACCGGCACCGGCCUCAGCACCCAUACAAAGCGACUAGCAGCGCGCCGAUCAAAACACCGCUACUAUAUACUACUGCCAACCACCAUUCAAGAAUCGAUUCUGAUCUUCACAACGCCUAACGAGUAGCUACUAUCCUCCAUCGUCACAGUGAAUUGUUUUCCCAGUCGUAAUCGGAUCGUGUUGGCAAACGGACGUCAAUAGCGGAGCAACGAUUUUCAAUUGAUUGAACUAAACUGAACUGAACUGAACCGAACCGAAGUGAACUGUGUGAACAACACAACAACCAUCGAUCAGUGCGCGCAUAUCAGCAGUAAAAACUGCAAACGCUCAGAAAAUUUUAUAAAUUCGGCGAAACAAGCAAAGUACAAAGAUCGCAUAUAACGGGUUUGUAGCUAGAAGAAAAAUCGAGUAAAAUUUUUGAACACAUCCUUUAAAAGAAAAAAAAACAACUUAAAAAAAGUAAAGUUGAUUAACUGAAAAGUGGAAAAAAAACUCGUUAAACAUUCAAAUCGAAAAGUUGAAGUCGAGUUGAAAAAUACAAAAAAAAAAAAAUUAAAAAUUCUCAUUGCUCACAAAAGCUAGAAAUUCCGCAUGAACGGGGAAUUUUAGAGGGUGCCUGUUAGAUUAUUUCGAGCGAUACGCGGCCACUUGUUGCUGCCUAGAUGUCAAAUGUUAACAUUUUAUAUACCUACAUAUGCAUGCUCAAAUUGAGAUCAGUAAAUACAGACACACGAAUUAAGGGCAUUACUCAAACGAAAAAAAUAAAAAUAAAAUCUUCAACUUUCUACAUCGAUUUUUGUUAAAGAAAAUCUUAAAACUUGUAUUGAAAAGUGAUUUCAAACAAUCCACAGUGAAAUAACUAUUUAAAGAAUUUUGGAAAAAAAAAAAUAAUAAUUACUUUACAAUAUGGAAAUUCCGCGCAAGCCUGCGUUAAUACGUUAAAAUCCCGAAAUCGUGCAAAAACCCCCAAACACAGUAAAGACGAAGCAGUUAGCACUAAAAAAAAAACAAAACAAAACAACCAACAAAGUCCAAGGCACUUACGCUGCCUGUGGCCUGCCUUUUUACACUCCAACACGCACACACUACGCUGCGCCGCUUUGAUCCUUGCAACGCGCUCAGUGCAUGAUUUUGAGUGCGCGCGCGCCCUAACAUCAAAAUCAUCGGCAGCGGACAGAAGCUAACAACAACAAGCAGCCAGCUACACAUAAAAGUUAGUACGCCUACAACAUAUGUACGACGGACUU